UCGUGGGGCUCCGGCCCUGUCGAGAUAGAACCCUUGCCUUUUGAGUACCGUCCGUUUCCUCGGCAGGCCCGCCUGCCAAUGGGGACCCCAAACAAACUCUUUAUGUACCUGUAACAGUCUGAGAAAAAAACAAAAAGUUA
rnacentral:misc_RNA from 1 species